UACAGGAGGGUGCGUAGCGUUGUCCGGAAUUAGCUAGGGCGUAAAGGCGCGUGAGGCUGGCCCGAUAAGAUACGGGACGUAGAAAUUCCGCGGCUCAAACCGCGGAACUGCGUUCUAGACGUGUCGAGGCUUGAGCACGGUAGAGGCAGAUGGAAUUCCCGGGUGUAGCGGUGGAAUGCGUAGAGAUCGGGAAGAACACCCGUGGCGAAGGCGGUUCUACUGGGACGGUACUGGACGCUGAGACGCGAAAGCGUGGGGAGCGAACAGG
rnacentral:rRNA from 1 species